rnacentral:rRNA from 1 species
AGCGAACGCUGGCGGCAGGCCUAACACAUGCAAGUCGAACGAACUCUUCGGAGUUAGUGGCGGACGGGUGAGUAACACGUGGGAACGUGCCUUUUGGUUCGGAAUAACUCAGGGAAACUUGUGCUAAUACCGAAUGUGCCCUUCGGGGGAAAGAUUUAUCGCCAUUAGAGCGGCCCGCGUCUGAUUAGCUGGUUGGUGAGGUAACGGCUCACCAAGGCGACGAUCAGUAGCUGGUCUGAGAGGAUGACCAGCCACACUGGGACCGAGACACGGCCCAGACUCCUACGGGAGGCAGCAGUGGGGAAUCUUGCGCAAUGGGCGAAAGCCUGACGCAGCCAUGCCGCGUGAAUGAUGAAGGUCCUAGGAUUGUAAAAUUCUUUCACCGGGGACGAUAAUGACGGUACCCGGAGAAGAAGCCCCGGCUAACUUCGUG